rnacentral:lncRNA from 1 species
AUGGCCUUGACUCUUGUGCGUGUGAAGGUCGGGCCAUGGGGUGGCACAGGGGGAUACGAAUGGGACGAAGCAAGCUAUGACGGAUACGAUGGUGGUUUUACUGGCAUCCGUAGCAUUAGUAUAGGGUCCUCCUCUACGUAUGUCAGCUCAAUGUUAUUUGAGUACGAUGACAACGGGCAACGCGUGAUGGGAAUCCAGCGUGGAAAGGAAAAACCAGAGCAAAUCCGAACGCAGGAACUGGACUUCCCGGGGGAGGUGUUGACCCACAUCAGCGGCUGCCACAACAACAACGUUAUUGUGUCGCUCCAGUUCAGGACCAACCGGAACAGGACAUUGGGAUACGGGAAAAUGGAUGCAGAAAACGAGCAAUGGAGGCGGUUCGAGGUGUCCAUGGAACAAGCGGGUUCCAUCGUCGGCUUCUUCGGCCGGAGUGGCGACCAGAUCGACGCCAUCGGCAUCUACAUUGCCGUGUGGAACCCCGACAGGUUCUUCGACGGCAUGCGCAGGCAGGGCGUCGUCACUCACCGGACGUCGUCGCCGCUUCACCUGAAGCUGCGAGAAAUGGAGAAGCGGAAGAAGCUUGAGGCGGACAGCACACACCUGCGUGAACGCAAGUCGCUGUUGGAGUCAGAAAUUAGCAGGUAUAAGGAUAAGAAAGGGGAACUACAAGCAAAACUAGACGGGUUAAAAAAUCUUGAAGUAAAACUGCUGCAGGACCAAAAGGAGCGGGAAUCACAGCUGGAGUCACCGAAGCUCCAACGCCUAUCCUCACAAAGGAAGAGAAAAGAGAAACAAGAAAGCAUCGAUCGGUUAGAACGGAACCUAGAUGUGCUGCACAAGCAGAUAGUAGAAACCCUGCAGCACACGCAAGACGCGAAACGACAACUCGAACAGGAGGAAAAAGAGCUAUGGGAACAAGAUCAGAUUAGG